CCUACGGGAGGCAGCAGUGGGGAAUUUUGGACAAUGGACGCAAGUCUGAUCCAGCCAUUCCGCGUGCAGGAUGAAGGCCCUCGGGUUGUAAACUGCUUUUGUACGGAACGAAAAGGUCUCUNUUAAUACGGGGGGCUCAUGACGGUACCGUAAGAAUAAGCACCGGCUAACUACGUGCCAGCAGCCGCGGUAAUACGUAGGUGCAAGCGUUAAUCGGAAUUACUGGGCGUAAAGCGUGCGCAGGCGGUUAUGUAAGACAGAGGUGAAAUCCCCGGGCUCAACCUGGGAACUGCCUUUGUGACUGCAUAGCUAGAGUACGGUAGAGGGGGAUGGAAUUCCGCGUGUAGCAGCAGUNAAAUGCGUAUAUAUGCGGAGGAACACCGAUGGCGAAGGCAAUCCCCUGGACCUGUACUGACGCUCAUGCACGAAAGCGUGGGGAGCAAACAGGAUUAGAUACCCUGGUAGUCCACGCCCUAAACGAUGUCAACUGGUUGUUGGGUCUUCACUGACUCAGUAACGAAGCUAACGCGUGAAGUUGACCGCCUGGGGAGUACGCCGCAAGGGUGAAACUCAAAGGAAUUACGG
rnacentral:rRNA from 1 species